CGCUCUCCUAUUUGAUGACGAGACAUCCUCCAGGCUACUUCAGAAAUGAGAUGUGUUCUUCAAGCCAAAUGUCAUAAAAGGGGCUAAGCGGCUUACUUCAACACCAGAGUUGCGUCGCUUGGUGCAGUCAGCAGAAAGUCCCCCAGGAAGUGAUCUUGAUGAGGCAACAGCCUACGACCAAGAAAUGGCCUCACUGUUGUUGCUGAUACAUCUCCUUCCACCACCGCCAGGGGGUCUGAAGUCUCCAAAGAUUAGUGCAUGUGACGCAGUUGAGAGACUUGUAGUUUUUCAUAAGUCAUGCUGCAGUUUGGAAGAGCAUCUCCGCAACCAGCAGGGUCAGCAGCCGUACCUCCUCGCUGUUGGGCGUCAG